AGCGGCGAACGGGUGAGUAACAUAUCGGAACGUACCCAUUUGAGGGGGAUAACGCACCGAAAGGUGUGCUAAUACCGCAUAAGUCCUGAGGGAGAAAGCGGGGGAUCGCAAGACCUCGCGCGAAUGGAGCGGCCGAUAUCUGAUUAGCUAGUUGGUAGGGUAAAGGCCUACCAAGGCGACGAUCAGUAGCUGGUCUGAGAGGACGACCAGCCACACUGGGACUGAGACACGGCCCAGACUCCUACGGGAGGCAGCAGUGGGGAAUUUUGGACAAUGGGGGCAACCCUGAUCCAGCCAUUCCGCGUGAGUGAAGAAGGCCUUCGGGUUGUAAAGCUCUUUCGGCAGGAACGAAAAGGUCAAGGUAAAUAAUCUUGAUUGAUGACGGUACCUGAAGAAGAAGCACCGGCUAACUACGUGCCAGCAGCCGCGGUAAUACGUAGGGUGCGAGCGUUAAUCGGAAUUACUGGGCGUAAAGGGUGCGCAGGUGGUUAUUUAAGACAGAUGUGAAAUCCCCGGGCUCAACCUGGGAACUGCGUUUGUGACUGGAUAGCUAGAGUGCGGCAGAGGGGGGUAGAAUUCCACGUGUAGCAGUGAAAUGCGUAGAGAU
rnacentral:rRNA from 1 species